UUGACGGGGCCGCACAGCGGUGGAGCAUGUGGUUAAUUCGACGCAACGCGAAGAACCUUACCAGGGCUUGACAUCCCCUGACCGCGUAUGAAAGUACGUUUUCACCCUCGGGUGACAGGGAGACAGGUGGUGCAUGGUUGUCGUCAGCUCGUGUCGUGAGAUGUUGGGUUAAGUCCCGCAACGAGCGCAACCCCUACGUUUAGUUGCUAACGCGUGAAGGCGAGCACUCUAGACGAACUGCCGUUGACAAAACGGAGGAAGGUGGGGAUGACGUCAAAUCAUCAUGCCCCUUAUGUUCUGGGCUACACACGUGCUACAAUGGCCGGUACAGACGGACGCAAAGCCGCGAGGUGGAGCAAAUCCUAAAAAGCCGGUCUCAGUUCGGAUUGCAGGCUGCAAUUCGCCUGCAUGAAGUCGGAAUCGCUAGUAAUCGCAGGUCAGCAUACUGCGGUGAAUACGUUCCCGGGCCUU
rnacentral:rRNA from 1 species